rnacentral:tRNA from 1 species
AUUAGUUUAGUAUAUAAAGUAUAAAAACUUUUCGUGUUUUUGGUGGGCUUAUGGCCCAAUUAAUA